AUUCCAUGUUGAGGAUACUUCCUGAGUAAUCCUUUAAAUCGUUUCCAAGCCUCGUACAGAGAUUCGCUUUCUUUUUGUUCAAAAGCAUUGAUCUCCGCCUUGAGUCU